rnacentral:misc_RNA from 1 species
CGGUAUUCUGUGUAAUUGUUUCUGAUAUGAUGCGAUGCGCGGGAGUACUAAAUAAACUCAUUAUGUGUAAAUAACACACACAGGUCGGCACAUACACCGGGGUGCUCUCAUGCGGCUGAUUCAUAGGUCAAUUGAUGUGAAUAAUCCGCAGCUAAAGAGUCGGUGUCAUGGGAUCUGUGGAGGCAUAACC